rnacentral:rRNA from 1 species
CAGAGACUGCAAGCGUUAUUCGGAUUCACUGGGCGUAAAGGGUGCGCAGGCGGUCGUGUGUGUCAGAUGUGAAAUCCCGGAGCUUAACUCCGGAACUGCGUCUGAAACUACAUGACUAGAGCAUUGGAGAGGGAAGUGGAAUUCAUGGUGUAGCAGUGAAAUGCGUAGAUAUCAUGAGGAACACCAGAGGCGAAGGCGACUUCCUGGACAAUUGCUGACGCUCAGGCACGAAAGCAUGGGGAGCAAAGGGGAUUAGAUACCCCUGUAGUCCAUGCCCUAAACGGUGCACACUAGGUCUUGGAGGAUUCGACCCCUUCAGGGCCCAAGCUAACGCGUUAAGUGUGCCGCCUGAGGACUACGGUCGCAAGACUA